AGGCAGCAGUAGUAUUGCACAAUGGGCGCAAGCCUGAUGCAGCAACGCCGCGUGCCCGAUGAAGGCUUCGGGUUGUAAAGGGCUUUUCUGGAGGACGAGGAAGGACGGUACUCCAGGAAUAAGGAUCGGCUAACUACGUGCCAGCAGCCGCGGUAACACGUAGGAUCCGAGCGUUAUCCGAAUUUACUGGGCGUAAAGCGCGUGCAGGCGGUUCGGUAAGUUGGGCGUGAAAGCUCCCGGCUCAACUGGGAGAGGUCGUCCAAAACUGCCGGGCUUGAGUGCGGUAGAGGGAGGUGGAAUUCCCGGUGUAGUGGUGAAAUGCGUAGAGAUCGGGAGGAACACCAGUGGCGAAAGCGGCCUCCUGGACCGCAACUGACGCUCAGACGCGAAAGCUAGGGGAGCGAACGGGAUUAGAUACCCCGGUAGUCCUAGCCGUAAACGAUGUGGACUGGGCGUGGGUGGGGUAAAAGCCAUCCGUGCCGAAGCUAACGCGCUAAGUCCACCGCCUGGGGACUACGGCCGCAAGGUUAAAACUCAAAGGAAUUGGCGGGGGCCCGCACAAGCAGCGGAGCGUGUGGUUUAUUCGAUGCUACGCGCAGAACCUUACCCGGGUUUGACAUCCAGGUCGUAGGGAACCGAAAGGCGACCGACCUUCGGGGAGCCUGGACAGGUGCCGCAUGGCGUCGUCAGCUCGUGUCGUGAGAUGUCCGGUUAAGUCCGGUAACGAGCGCAACCCUUGCUGUAUGUUAGAUGUGUCAUACAGGACUGCCGGCUUAAGGCCGGAGGAAGGCGGGGAUGACGUCAAGUCAGCAUGGCCUUGAUAUCCGGGGCGACACACACGCUACAAUGGCCGGUACAAUGGGUUGCAAAGCCGCGAGGUAGAGCCAAUCCCCAAAGCCGGUCUCAGUUCGGAUUGCAGGCUGCAACUCGCCUGCAUGAAGUCGGAGUUGCUAGUAACCGCGCGUCAGCCACAGUGCGGCGAAUACGUUCCCGGGCC
rnacentral:rRNA from 1 species